rnacentral:rRNA from 1 species
GGCAGGCCUAACACAUGCAAGUCGAACGCUUCGGGAUUAGUGGCGGACGGGUGAGUAACACGUGGGAACGUGCCCGUUGGUUCGGAACAACUCAGGGAAACUUGAGCUAAUACCGGAUGUGCCCUUCUGGGGAAAGAUUUAUCGCCAUUGGAGCGGCCCGCGUAGGAUUAGCUAGUUGGUGGGGUAAAGGCCCACCAAGGCGACGAUCCUUAGCUGGUCUGAGAGGAUGAUCAGCCACAUUGGGACUGAGACACGGCCCAAACUCCUACGGGAGGCAGCAGUGGGGAAUCUUGCGCAAUGGGCGAAAGCCUGACGCAGCCAUGCCGCGUGAAUGAUGAAGGUCUUAGGAUUGUAAAAUUCUUUCACCGGGGACGAUA